rnacentral:rRNA from 1 species
AUGUCUAGAGUUUGAAAGAUGGUUCUGCUAUCACUCUUGGAUGGACCUGCGGUGCAUUAGCUAGUUGGUAAGGUAACGGCUUACCAAGGCAAUGAUGCAUAGCCGAGUUGAGAGACUGAUCGGCCACAUUGGGACUGAGACACGGCCCAAACUCCUACGGGAGGCAGCAGUAGGGAAUCUUCCACAAUGGACGAAAGUCUGAUGGAGCAACGCCGCGUGAGUGAAGAAGGGUUUCGGCUCGUAAAGCUCUGUUGGUAGUGAAGAAAGAUAGAGGUAGUAACUGGCCUUUAUUUGACGGUAAUUACUUAGAAAGUCACGGCUAACUACGUGCCAGCAGCCGCGGUAAUACGUAGGUGGCAAGCGUUGUCCGGAUUUAUUGGGCGUAAAGCGAGUGCAGGCGGUUCAAUAAGUCUGAUGUGAAAGCCUUCGGCUCAACCGGAGAAUUGCAUCAGAAACUGUUGAACUUGAGUGCAGAAGAGGAGAGUGGAACUCCAUGUGUAGCGGUGGAAUGCGUAGAUAUAUGGAAGAACACCAGUGGCGAAGGCGGCUCUCUG